rnacentral:snRNA from 1 species
CUUGAUCAUCAAGGUUUCAUCU